AUUGAACGCUGGCGGCAGGCCUAACACACGCAAGUCGAGCGGAUGAGAAGAGCUUGCUCUUCGAUUCAGCGGCGGACGGGUGAGUAAUGCCUAGGAAUCUGCCUGGUAGUGGGGGACAACGUUUCGAAAGGAACGCUAAUACCGCAUACGUCCUACGGGAGAAAGCAGGGGACCGUCGGGCCUUGCGCUAUCAGAUGAGCCUAGGCCGGAUUAGCUUGUUGGUGAGGUAAUGGCUCACCAAGGCGACGAUCCGUAACUGGUCUGAGAGGAUGAUCAGUCACACUGGAACUGAGACACGGUCCAGACUCCUACGGGAGGCAGCAGUGGGGAAUAUUGGACAAUGGGCGAAAGCCUGAUCCAGCCAUGCCGCGUGUGUGAAGAAGGUCUUCGGAUUGUAAAGCACUUUAAGUUGGGAGGAAGGGCAGCCAGCGAAUACCUGGUUGUUUUGACGUUACCGACAGAAUAAGCACCGGCUAACUCUGUGCCAGCAGCCGCCGUAACAC
rnacentral:rRNA from 1 species